rnacentral:lncRNA from 1 species
GUGAUUUGUACCUUCAUUUCUUUUAAUAGUGGUGCUUUGAUAUAACAUAUUUUUGAGAUUUUUUUCUCCAGGUAGUUACUUUGCAAAAAUAUAUAAAUAUUUGCUGACAAAACACUGUUGCCUGUGACUUGUUUGGCUCCUGACAAUGUUACCAGAACUGUAAUCCAGCGGUUUAUAAAAAUAAACAUAGCAUAUGUUGUGGAGUUUUUUUUUUUACUGCUGUUAUGGAG